rnacentral:misc_RNA from 1 species
GGUAAAUGGAGUGCAAAUAAGAUCCACUGGCCCAACUAUCAUUUUCCAUCAUAGAAAAGCUUUGAUAACAAGACUUACAGAAUCCUCCUCAGAAGAUUCACAAUAUAUUAUAAAUCAACAAGAAAGCCAACCCUUAACAUCCCACAUUCCUUUUUUCAUUCUUGGAUAAAUGGACAGCAUAAAUAGCAUGGAAUAGGGCUAGAAAUUCAAAAGUAGUGGUUUUAACAGCCAACAACUUAUGAACACAAAAAAAUUAUUAAGAGAUAGCUAGUGCCACAUUGAAUAAAUGCCAGCCAACUCAAUGUUCUAUACUAAGCUUUGUUCCUCUGUAACCUUAUUGAACUCCACAUCUGAUGUCCAAAAGAACAAAUUUACAAAGGACCUCAAAUUCUUCAUAUAAUGUAAUAUAAAUGGA